rnacentral:pre_miRNA from 1 species
AUAGUACUCCCUCCGUCCGAAAAUACUUGUCAUUAAAAUGGACAAAAAGAGAUGUAUCUAGAACUAAAAUACAUCUAGAUACAUCCCCUUUUAUUCAUUUCGAUGACAAGUAUUUCUGGACGGAGGGAGUAGGCC